GAUGAACGCUGGCGGCGUGCUUAACACAUGCAAGUCGAACGAAGCAUUUAGAACAGAUUACUUCGGUUUGAAGUUCUUUAUGACUGAGUGGCGGACGGGUGAGUAACGCGUGGGUAACCUGCCUUGUACUGGGGGAUAGCAGCUGGAAACAGCUGGUAAUACCGCAUAAGCGCACAAUGUUGCAUGACAUGGUGUGAAAAACUCCGGUGGUAUAAGAUGGACCCGCGUCUGAUUAGCUAGUUGGUGAGAUAACAGCCCACCAAGGCGACGAUCAGUAGCCGACCUGAGAGGGUGACCGGCCACAUUGGGACUGAGACACGGCCCAGACUCCUACGGGAGGCAGCAGUGGGGAAUAUUGCACAAUGGAGGAAACUCUGAUGCAGCGACGCCGCGUGAGUGAAGAAGUAAUUCGUUAUGUAAAGCUCUAUCAGCAGGGAAGAUAGUGACGGUACCUGACUAAGAAGCGCCGGCUAAAUACGUG
rnacentral:rRNA from 1 species